UACGAAGGGGGCUAGCGUUGCUCGGAAUCACUGGGCGUAAAGGGUGCGUAGGCGGGUCUUUAAGUCAGGGGUGAAAUCCUGGAGCUCAACUCCAGAACUGCCUUCGAUACUGAGAGUCUCGAGUCCGGGAGAGGUGAGUGGAACUGCGAGUGUAGAGGUGAAAUUCGUAGAUAUUCGCAAGAACACCAGUGGCGAAGGCGCACAUCUGGCCCGAUACUGACGCUGAGGCGCGAAAGCUAGGGGAGCAAACGGG
rnacentral:rRNA from 1 species